UAACGCUGGCGGCAGGCCUAACACAUGCAAGUCGAACGGUAACAGAGAGUAGCUUGCUACUUUGCUGACGAGUGGCGGACGGGUGAGUAAUGUCUGGGGAUCUGCCUGAUGGAGGGGGAUAACUACUGGAAACGGUAGCUAAUACCGCAUAAUGUCGCAAGACCAAAGCGGGGGACUUUCGGGCCUCGCACCAUCAGAUGAACCCAGAUGGGAUUAGCUAGUAGGUAAGGUAAUGGCUUACCUAGGCGACGAUCCCUAGCUGGUCUGAGAGGAUGACCAGCCACACUGGAACUGAGACACGGUCCAGACUCCUACGGGAGGCAGCAGUGGGGAAUAUUGCACAAUGGGCGCAAGCCUGAUGCAGCCAUGCCGCGUGUAUGAAGAAGGCCUUCGGGUUGUAAAGUACUUUCAGUCAGGAGGAAGGGUGUGAAAUUAAUACUUUCAUGCAUUGACGUUACUGACAGAAGAAGCACCGGCUAACUCCGUG
rnacentral:rRNA from 1 species